rnacentral:rRNA from 1 species
UACAGAGGGGGCGAGCGUUUGUUCGGAAUUACUGGGCGUAAAGGGCGCGUAGGCGGCCAACUAAGUCAGACGUGAAAUCCCUCGGCUCAACCGGGGAACUGCGUCUGAUACUGGAUGGCUUGAAUUCGGGAGAGGGAUGCGGAAUUCCAGGUGUAGCGGUGAAAUGCGUAGAUAUCUGGAGGAACACCGGUGGCGAAGGCGGCAUCCUGGACCGAGAUUGACGCUGAUGGCGCGAAAAGCCAGGGGAGCAAACGGG